CAACACAUAUUUGGAUGGUGUUCAGCACCAGGGACAGACAUGUUAACCUGUAUGUGAAUGGGGUUCUGCACCAAUGAUAGGUGUGUUUACCU
rnacentral:pre_miRNA from 1 species